rnacentral:misc_RNA from 1 species
GAUGAAGAACGCAGCGAAAUACGAUAAGUAAUGUGAAUUGCAGAAUUCAGUGAAUCAUCGAAUCUUUGAACGCACCUUGCACUCCUUGGUAUUCCGAGGAGUACGCCUGUUCGAGUGUUAUGAAGCUCUCAAAACGCAAUUGGCUUAAAACCUGAUUGUUGUUUUGGAUUUGAACUUUGCCGUGUUAUAACGGCUGGUUUUAAAAGUAUUAGCUGGUACUAGAACGAAUUGGUUCUACUCAACGUGAUAAUUAUCUGAUCGUUGAGGACAUUCCUUUCACGAGGAAUGGCCAUAGUAAAUUCAAUGGACUGCUUCUAAUCUGGCUUUAAUUCUUUAUCGGAUUAACCACUUUUCAAAUCUGACCUCGAAUCAGGUGGGACUACCCGCUGAACUUAAGCAUAUCAAUAAGCGGAGGA